rnacentral:rRNA from 1 species
GCACGGGUGCGUAACGCGUAUAGAAUCUACCUUAUACUGGGGGAUAGCCUUUGGAAACGAAGAUUAAUACCCCAUAGUAUGUUUGAAUGGCAUCAUUUGGACAUUAAAGUUUCGGCGGUAUAAGAUGACUAUGCGUUCUAUUAGUUUGUUGGUAAGGUAACGGCUUACCAAGACUACGAUAGAUAGGGGUCCUGAGAGGGAGAUCCCCCACACUGGUACUGAGACACGGACCAGACUCCUACGGGAGGCAGCAGUGAGGAAUAUUGGACAAUGGAGGCAACUCUGAUCCAGCCAUGCCGCGUGUAGGAAGACUGCCCUAUGGGUUGUAAACUACUUUUAUAUGGGAAGAAUAAGGUCUACGUGUAGACUGAUGACGGUACCAUAAGAAUAAGCACCGGCUAACUCCGUGCCAGCAGCCGCGGUAAUACGGAGGGUGCAAGCGUUAUCCGGAAUCAUUGGGUUUAAAGGGUCCGUAGGCGGGCAUAUAAGUCAGUGGUGAAAGUCUGUGGCUCAACCAUAGAAUUGCCAUUGAUACUGUAUGUCUUGAAUUAUUGUGAAGUGGUUAGAAUAUGUAGUGUAGCGGUGAAAUGCUUAGAGAUUACAUAGAAUACCGAUUGCGAAGGCAGAUCACUAACAAUAUAUUGACGCUGAUGGACGAAAGCGUAGGUAGCGAACAGGAUUAGAUACCCUGGUAGUCUACGCCGUAAACGAUGGAUACUAGUUGUUUGGUCUUCGGACUGAGUGACUAAGCGAAAGUGAUAAGUAUCCCACCUGGGGAGUACGUUCGCAAGAAUGAAACUCAAAGGAAUUGACGGGGGCCCGCACAAGCGGUGGAGCAUGUGGUUUAAUUCGAUGAUACGCGAGGAACCUUACCAGGGCUUAAAUGUAGAUUGACAGGACUAGAGAUAGUUUUUUCUUCGGACAAUUUACAAGGUGCUGCAUGGUUGUCGUCAGCUCGUGCCGUGAGGUGUCAGGUUAAGUCCUAUAACGAGCGCAACCCCUGUGGUUAGUUGCCAGCGAGUAAUGUCGGGAACUCUAGCCAGACUGCCGGUGCAAACCGUGAGGAAGGUGGGGAUGACGUCAAAUCAUCACGGCCCUUACGUCCUGGGCCACACACGUGCUACAAUGGUAGGGACAGAGAGCAGCCACUGGGCGACCAGGAGCGAAUCUAUAAACCCUAUCUCAGUUCGGAUUGGAGUCUGCAACUCGACUCCAUGAAGCUGGAAUCGCUAGUAAUCUCAUAUCGUCC